rnacentral:rRNA from 1 species
AACGCUGGCGGCGUGCCUAACACAUGCAAGUCGAACGGAACUUUUUAUCCAGAACUUUUCGGAGGGAAGGAUUUAAAGUUUAGUGGCGGACGGGUGAGUAACGCGUGAGUAACCUGCCUUACAGAGGGGGACAACAGUUGGAAACGACUGCUAAUACCGCAUAAAGUAUCCAGUAGGCAUCUACAGGAUACCAAAGGAGCAAUCCGCUGUAAGAUGGACUCGCGUCCGAUUAGAUAGUUGGUGAGGUAACGGCUCACCUAGGCGACGAUCUCUAGCUGGUCUGAGAGGAUGAUCAGCCACAUUGGGACUGAGACACGGCCCAGACUCCUACGGGAGGCAGCAGUGGGGAAUCUUCCGCAAUGGACGAAAGUCUGACGGAGCAACGCCGCGUGAACGAUGACGGCCUUCGGGUUGUAAAGUUCUGUUAUACGGGACGAAUGGCGUAGCGGUCAAUACCCGUUACGAGUGACGGUACCGUAAGAGAAAGCCACGGCUAACUACGUG